CGGCUUAUUUGACUCAACACGGGGAAACUCACCAGGUCCAGACACAAUGAGGAUUGACAGAUUGAGAGCUCUUUCUUGAUUUUGUGGUUGGUGGUGCAUGGCCGUUCUUAGUUGGUGGAGUGAUUUGUCUGCUUAAUUGCGAUAACGAACGAGACCUUAACCUGUUAAAUAGCCCGUAUCGCUUUGGCGGUACGCCGGCUUCUUAGCAGGACUAUCGGCUCAAGCCGAUGGAAGUUUGAGGCAAUAAC
rnacentral:rRNA from 1 species